rnacentral:rRNA from 1 species
ACCGACAGCAAUAUGAAGGCCAGGCUGAAGACUUUGCCGGAUUAGCUGAGAGGUGGUGCAUGGCCGUCGUCAGUUCGUACUGUGAAGCAUCCUGUUAAGUCAGGCAACGAGCGAGACCCACGCCCACAGUUGCCAGCGUACUCUCCGGAGUGACGGGUACACUGUGGGGACCGCCGCUGCUAAAGCGGAGGAAGGAAUGGGCAACGGUAGGUCAGUAUGCCCCGAAUAUCCCGGGCUACACGCGAGCUACAAUGGUUGGUACAAUGGGUAUCUACCCCGAAAGGGGACGGGAAUCUCCUAAAACCAAUCUUAGUUCGGAUUGAGGGCUGCAACUCGCCCUCAUGAAGCUGGAAUCCGUAGUAAUCGCGUUUCAACAGAACGCGGUGAAUACGUCCCUGCUCCUU